rnacentral:rRNA from 1 species
AACGUAGGAGACGAGCGUUAUCCGGAUUUACUGGGCGUAAAGCGUGUGCAGGCGGUUCGGCAAGUUGGAUGUGAAAUCUCCCGGCUCAACUGGGAGGGGUCGUUCAAUACUACCGAACUUGAGGUCAUCAGAGGAAGGUGGAAUUCCGAGUGUAGAGGUGAAAUUCGUAGAUAUUCGGAAGAACACCAGUGGCGAAGGCGGCUCACUGGCCCGUUACCGACGCUCAGGCGCGACAGCGUGGGGAGCAAACAGG